GAGUCUGAUCUUGGCUCAGAUUGAACGCUGGCGGCAUGCCUUACACAUGCAAGUCGAACGGUAACAGGUCUUCGGAUGCUGACGAGUGGCGAACGGGUGAGUAAUACAUCGGAACGUGCCCGAUCGUGGGGGGAUAACGGAGCGAAAGCUUUGCUAAUACCGCAUACGAUCUACGGAUGAAAGCAGGGGACCGCAAGGCCUUGCGCGGACGGAGCGGCCGAUGGCAGAUUAGGUAGUUGGUGGGAUAAAAGCUUACCAAGCCGACGAUCUGUAGCUGGUCUGAGAGGACGACCAGCCACACUGGGACUGAGACACGGCCCAGACUCCUACGGGAGGCAGCAGUGGGGAAUUUUGGACAAUGGGCGAAAGCCUGAUCCAGCCAUGCCGCGUGCAGGAUGAAGGCCUCGGUUGUAAC
rnacentral:rRNA from 1 species